GUGCUCGCUUCAGCAGCACAUAUACUAAAAUUGGAAUGACACAGAGAAGAUUAGUAUGGCCCCUGCACAAGGAUGACACACAAAUUGAUGAAGCAUUCCAUAUUUAA